GCAGAAGGCAGAUGAGGGAGGAGAGGAAAGUCGGAUGCUGCAAUUAACGGCCUGGACAGAGGAUGGGGACAUGAAUAAUGGUAGAGUCCAGCAUUAGCACAACACUCCAUUCAUCACUGCUGAAGGGCAAAUGCAUAACCCUCAAAAUGAUCCUGGAAAGAGGAAAAGGGAGAGGAAUUGCAAGUUCCAUGGAACAGUGAUUUACCAUGCAGCAGAGGAUGUGAGCAUCUCCGAAAUAGAAGGGUCCACAUAUUUUGAACUUUAACAUAUAUAAUGAUACUUAUAAUGUGACUGUUACGGGCAGCUGAUUUUUCAUACAAUUGACAUGAGACCCAUCUGAUGAAGUGGCACUCCCAAAGAAAAGAUAAAGUCAAAUCUGGCUGGCCAGUUACAACUUCAGAGCUCUUUCAUAACUUUCUGAGGUUGUAGAUAAAUUGGACCUUCGCAGAAGACCGUGGCUGUGGACAAGUAAACAAUUCCUAUCAUACAUUUCUCACUGGAGGGAAAGUUAAAAGUUAGAUUCAAUAAAAGUGACCGCCAUGACUUAACUAAACCAUCCAGCAUCUCCUUGCCGACAGCCUGCCUUAUAUUUACAUGAAAGGAUUUCCUGCCAGUUUAUCAUCUUAGUCUUAAUACCUAGGCCUUUAUCCCCUCAUCUCUAUCCUACCAAUUGCCUGUCUUUUCAUUUUGCACAGAUGGAAUGGGCAAUUGAAGAAGUAAGGCAUCAUUACCUUCUUCUUUUUAAAGAUGUAGGGAGUGAGCACCAGGUUCUGUUCUCAGCAAACCUCUUUAAUCCUAGUGGGGUUGGUUAUAGCAACUUCAAGCCUACCUGACUCCAGUUUUCUCUUCCAAAUCAAUCUUUAAUCCUCAAAAAGGUUGAUUUGAUUGCACAGUCCUUGCUUACUGUAUUUCAAUGGUUCCCUAGGGUUUUCAUAUUAUAGCUGGAGUUCCUUAGCUUGGGAAAAAAAAUUCAUUUUAAGCCCCUUGACUCUCCUUUAUUUUUGUAUUUAACUUUUUAAAAUAAAAAAAUCUGAAAUAUCCUAACAUGUAGAAAUUUGCAGAAGAUCAUUCAUCUUUCUAAAAGCUAGCUUCCUCUAGUCAUCAUUUCCCACUCUAUGCACCAGCCAUGACUUGAGCCCCUAAAAUUUCUCUUGCUAUUUAACACUUCCAUGAUUGUGUCAAUCCUG
rnacentral:lncRNA from 1 species